rnacentral:rRNA from 1 species
UUAAGCGACUAAGCGUACACGGUGGAUGCCCUGGCAGUCAGAGGCGAUGAAGGACGUGCUAAUCUGCGAUAAGCGUCGGUAAGGUGAUAUGAACCGUUAUAACCGGCGAUUUCCGGAAUGGGGAAACCCAGUGUGUUUCGACACACUAUCAUUAACUGAAUCCAUAGGUUAAUGAGGCGAACCGGGGGAACUGAAACAUCUAAGUACCCCGAGGAAAAGAAAUCAACCGAGAUUCCCCCAGUAGCGGCGAGCGAACGGGGAGCAGCCCAGAGCCUGAAUCAGUGUGUGUGUUAGUGGAAGCGUCUGGAAAGGCGCGCGAUACAGGGUGACAGCCCCGUACACAAAAAUGCACAUGCUGUGAGCUCGAUGAGUAGGGCGGGACACGUGGUAUCCUGUCUGAAUAUGGGGGACCAUCCUCCAAGGCUAAAUACUCCUGACUGACCGAUAGUGAACCAGUACCGUGAGGGAAAGGCGAAAAGAACCCCGGCGAGGGGAGUGAAAAAGAACCUGAAAUCGUGUACGUACAAGCAGUGGGAGCACGCUUAGGCGUGUGACUGCGUACCUUUUGUAUAAUGGGUCAGCGACUUAUAUUCUGUAGCAAGGUUAACCGAAUAGGGGAGCCGAAGGGAAACCGAGUCUUAACUGGGCGUUAAGUUGCAGGGUAUAGACCCGAAACCCGGUGAUCUAGCCAUGGGCAGGUUGAAGGUUGGGUAACACUAACUGGAGGACCGAACCGACUAAUGUUGAAAAAUUAGCGGAUGACUUGUGGCUGGGGGUGAAAGGCCAAUCAAACCGGGAGAUAGCUGGUUCUCCCCGAAAGCUAUUUAGGUAGCGCCUCGUGAAUUCAUCUCCGGGGGUAGAGCACUGUUUCGGCAAGGGGGUCAUCCCGACUUACCAACCCGAUGCAAACUGCGAAUACCGGAGAAUGUUAUCACGGGAGACACACGGCGGGUGCUAACGUCCGUCGUGAAGAGGGAAACAACCCAGACCGCCAGCUAAGGUCCCAAAGUCAUGGUUAAGUGGGAAACGAUGUGGGAAGGCCCAGACAGCCAGGAUGUUGGCUUAGAAGCAGCCAUCAUUUAAGAAAGCGUAAUAGCUCACUGGUCGAGUCGGCCUGCGCGGAAGAUGUAACGGGGCUAAACCAUGCACCGAAGCUGCGGCCGCGACACUAUGUGUUGUUGGGUAGGGGAGCGUUCUGUAAGCCUGUGAAGGUGUGCUGUGAGGCAUGCUGGAGGUAUCAGAAGUGCGAAUGCUGACAUAAGUAACGAUAAAGCGGGUGAAAAGCCCGCUCGCCGGAAGACCAAGGGUUCCUGUCCAACGUUAAUCGGGGCAGGGUGAGUCGACCCCUAAGGCGAGGCCGAAAGGCGUAGUCGAUGGGAAACAGGUUAAUAUUCCUGUACUUGGUGUUACUGCGAAGGGGGGACGGAGAAGGCUAUGUUGGCCGGGCGACGGUUGUCCCGGUUUAAGCGUGUAGGCUGGUUUUCCAGGCAAAUCCGGAAAAUCAAGGCUGAGGCGUGAUGACGAGGCACUACGGUGCUGAAGCAACAAAUGCCCUGCUUCCAGGAAAAGCCUCUAAGCAUCAGGUAACAUCAAAUCGUACCCCAAACCGACACAGGUGGUCAGGUAGAGAAUACCAAGGCGCUUGAGAGAACUCGGGUGAAGGAACUAGGCAAAAUGGUGCCGUAACUUCGGGAGAAGGCACGCUGAUAUGUAGGUGAAGUCCCUUGCGGAUGGAGCUGAAAUCAGUCGAAGAUACCAGCUGGCUGCAACUGUUUAUUAAAAACACAGCACUGUGCAAACACGAAAGUGGACGUAUACGGUGUGACGCCUGCCCGGUGCCGGAAGGUUAAUUGAUGGGGUUAGCCGCAAGGCGAAGCUCUUGAUCGAAGCCCCGGUAAACGGCGGCCGUAACUAUAACGGUCCUAAGGUAGCGAAAUUCCUUGUCGGGUAAGUUCCGACCUGCACGAAUGGCGUAAUGAUGGCCAGGCUGUCUCCACCCGAGACUCAGUGAAAUUGAACUCGCUGUGAAGAUGCAGUGUACCCGCGGCAAGACGGAAAGACCCCGUGAACCUUUACUAUAGCUUGACACUGAACAUUGAGCCUUGAUGUGUAGGAUAGGUGGGAGGCUUUGAAGUGUGGACGCCAGUCUGCAUGGAGCCGACCUUGAAAUACCACCCUUUAAUGUUUGAUGUUCUAACGUUGACCCGUAAUCCGGGUUGCGGACAGUGUCUGGUGGGUAGUUUGACUGGGGCGGUCUCCUCCUAAAGAGUAACGGAGGAGCACGAAGGUUGGCUAAUCCUGGUCGGACAUCAGGAGGUUAGUGCAAUGGCAUAAGCCAGCUUGACUGCGAGCGUGACGGCGCGAGCAGGUGCGAAAGCAGGUCAUAGUGAUCCGGUGGUUCUGAAUGGAAGGGCC